rnacentral:rRNA from 1 species
UGGGGAAUAUUGCACAAUGGGCGGAAGCCUGAUGCAGCGACGCCGCGUGGGGGAUGACGGCCUUCGGGUUGUAAACCCCUUUCGCCCGGGACGAAGCGAGAGUGACGGUACCGGGAGAAGAAGCACCGGCCAACUACGUGCCAGCAGCCGCGGUAAUACGUAGGGUGCAAGCGUUGUCCGGAAUUAUUGGGCGUAAAGAGCUCGUAGGCGGUGUGUCGCGUCUGCCGUGAAAACCUGCGGCUUAACCGUGGGCGUGCGGUGGAUACGGGCACACUUGAGUUCGGUAGGGGAGACUGGAAUUCCUGGUGUAGCGGUGGAAUGCGCAGAUAUCAGGAGGAACACCAGUGGCGAAGGCGGGUCUCUGGGCCGAAACUGACGCUGAGGAGCGAAAGCGUGGGGAGCGAACAGGAUUAGAUACCCUGGUAGUCCACGCCGUAAACGGUGGGCGCUAGGUGUGGGAUGCUGUUCACGUGUCCCGUGCCGUAGCUAACGCAUUAAGCGCCCCGCCUGGGGAGUACGGCCGCAAGGCUA